ACGGUCACAUCACGUUGAAACAUCGAUUCCCGUAUGAUCACAGAAGUUAAGCAACGUCGAGCCUGGCCAGUACCUAGAUGGGUGACCGUUUAGGAAUACCAGGUGCUGUAAG
rnacentral:rRNA from 1 species